AUUGAACGCUGGCGGCGUGCUUAACACAUGCAAGUCGAUCGGUAACAGGUGUAGCAAUACAUGCUGACGAGAGGCGGACGGGUGAGUAAUGCUUGGGAAUCUGCCUAUUAGUGGGGGACAACCCGGGGAAACUCGGGCUAAUACCGCAUACGCUCUACGGAGGAAAGCCGGGGACCGCAAGGCCUGGCGCUAAUAGAUGAGCCCAAGUCGGAUUAGCUAGUUGGUAGGGUAACGGCCUACCAAGGCGACAAUCCGUAGCUGGUCUGAGAGGACGACCAGCCACACCGGAACUGAGACACGGUCCGGACUCCUACGGGAGGCAGCAGUGGGGAAUAUUGGACAAUGGGGGCAACCCUGAUCCAGCGACGCCGCGUGGGUGAAGAAGGCCUGCGGGUUGUAAAGCCCUUUCGGUGGGGAAGAAAGUCUCGACCUAAUACGUCGGGACCUUGACGUAACCCACUAAAGAAGCACCGG
rnacentral:rRNA from 1 species